GCAGUGAUGUCCGAGUGGUUAAGGAGUUUGACUCGAAAUCAAAUGGGCUCUGCCCGCGCAG
rnacentral:tRNA from 1 species